CCUACGGGAGGCAGCAGUGGGGAAUAUUGGACAAUGGGGGCAACCCUGAUCCAGCCAUGCCGCGUGUGUGAAGAAGGCCCUCGGGUUGUAAAGCACUUUCAGUGAGGAAGAACGCCUGGUGGUUAAUACCCAUCAGGAAAGACAUCACUCACAGAAGAAGCACCGGCUAACUCCGUGCCAGCAGCCGCGGUAAUACGGAGGGUGCGAGCGUUAAUCGGAAUUACUGGGCGUAAAGCGCGCGUAGGUGGCUUGAUAGGCCGGUUGUGAAAGCCCCGGGCUCAACCUGGGAACGGCAUCCGGAACUGUCAAGCUAGAGUGCAGGAGAGGAAGGUAGAAUUCCCGGUGUAGCGGUGAAAUGCGUAGAGAUCGGGAGGAAUACCAGUGGCGAAGGCGGCCUUCUGGACUGACACUGACACUGAGGUGCGAAAGCGUGGGUAGCAAACAGGAUUAGAUACCCUAGUAGUC
rnacentral:rRNA from 1 species